AGCGAACGCUGGCGGCAGGCCUAACACAUGCAAGUCGAGCGGGCGUAGCAAUACGUCAGCGGCAGAAGGGAGAGUAACACGUGGGAACGUGACCUUUGGUUCGGAAUAACUCAGGGAAACUUGAGCUAAUACCGGAUAAGCCCUUCGGGGGAAAGAUUUAUUGCCAUUGGAGCGGGCCGUGUCGGAUUAGCUAGUUGGUGAGGUAAUGGCUCACCAAGGCGACGAUCCGUAGCUGGUCUGAGAGGAUGACCAGCCGCACGGGGACUGAGACACGGCCCAGACUCCUACGGGAGGCAGCAGUGGGGAAUAUUGGACAAUGGGCGCAAGCCUGAUCCAGCCAUGCCGCGUGGAUGAUGAAGGCCCUAGGGUUGUAAAGUCCUUUUAACGGGGAAGAUAAUGACGGUACCCGUAGAAUAAGCCCCGGCUAACUUCGUGCCAGCCGCCGCAGUAA
rnacentral:rRNA from 1 species